UUGAGUGAGUGGCGGACGGGUGAGUAACACGUGGGUAACCUGCCCUAAAGUGGGGGAUAACAUUUGGAAACAGAUGCUAAUACCGCAUAAAACCUAACACCGCAUGGUGUAGGGUUGAAAGAUGGUUUCGGCUAUCACUUUAGGAUGGACCCGCGGUGCAUUAGUUAGUUGGUGAGGUAAAGGCUCACCAAGACCGUGAUGCAUAGCCGACCUGAGAGGGUAAUCGGCCACACUGGGACUGAGACACGGCCCAGACUCCUACGGGAGGCAGCAGUAGGGAAUCUUCCACAAUGGACGAAAGUCUGAUGGAGCAACGCCGCGUGAGUGAAGAAGGUUUUCGGAUCGUAAAACUCUGUUGUUGGAGAAGAAUGUAUCUGAUAGUAACUGAUCAGGUAGUGACGGUAUCCAACCAGAAAGCCACGGCUAACUACGUGCCAGCAGCCGCGGUAAUACGUAGGUGGCAAGCGUUGUCCGGAUUUAUUGGGCGUAAAGCGAGCGCAGGCGGUUUCUUAAGUCUGAUGUGAAAGCCUUCGGCUCAACCGAAGAAGUGCAUCGGAAACUGGGAAACUUGAGUGCAGAAGAGGACAGUGGAACUCCAUGUGUAGCGGUGAAAUGCGUAGAUAUAUGGAAGAACACCAGUGGCGAAGGCGGCUGUCUGGUCUGUAACUGACGCUGAGGCUCGAAAGCAUGGGUAGCAAACAGGAUUAGAUACCCUGGUAGUCCAUGCCGUAAACGAUGAGUGCUAGGUGUUGGAGGGUUUCCGCCCUUCAGUGCCGCAGCUAACGCAUUAAGCACUCCGCCUGGGGAGUACGACCGCAAGGUUGAAACUCAAAGGAAUUGACGGGGGCCCGCACAAGCGGUGGAGCAUGUGGUUUAAUUCGAAGCAACGCGAAGAACCUUACCAGGUCUUGACAUCCUUUGACCACUCUAGAGAUAGAGCUUUCCCUUCGGGGACAAAGUGACAGGUGGUGCAUGGUUGUCGUCAGCUCGUGUCGUGAGAUGUUGGGUUAAGUCCCGCAACGAGCGCACCCUUAUUACUAGUUGCCAGCAUUUAGUUGGGCACUCUAAUGAGACUGCCGGUGACAAACCGGAGGAAGGUGGGGACGACGUCAAUCAUCCUGCCCCUUAUGACUGGGCUAC
rnacentral:rRNA from 1 species